rnacentral:rRNA from 1 species
CCCAGACUCCUACGGGAGGCAGCAGUGGGGGAUAUUGCACAAUGGGGGGAACCCUGAUGCAGCGACGCCGCGUGGGUGAAGGAGUGCUUCGGCAUGUAAAGCCCUAUCGGCAGGGAAGAAGCAAGACGGUACCUGACUAAGAAGCCCCGGCUAACUACGUGCCAGCAGCCGCGGUAAUACGUAGGGGGCAAGCGUUAUCCGGAUUUACUGGGUGUAAAGGGAGCGUAGAAGGCAGUGCAAGUCCGGAGUGAAAGCCCGGGGCUCAACCCUGGGACUGCUCUGGAAACUGUAAAGCUGGAGUGCGGGAGGGGCAGGCGGAAUUCCUGGUGUAGCGGUGAAAUGCGUAGAUAUCAGGAGGAACACCGGCGGCGAAGGCGGCCUGCUGGACCGUAACUGACGUUGAGGCUCGAAAGCGUGGGGAGCAAACAGGAUUAGAUACCCUCGUAA